rnacentral:rRNA from 1 species
GGUGAAGGAUGAGCCCGCGGCCUAUCAGCUUGUUGGUGGGGUAAUGGCCUACCAAGGCGACGACGGGUAGCCGGCCUGAGAGGGCGACCGGCCACACUGGGACUGAGACACGGCCCAGACUCCUACGGGAGGCAGCAGUGGGGAAUAUUGCACAAUGGGCGAAAGCCUGAUGCAGCGACGCCGCGUGAGGGAUGACGGCCUUCGGGUUGUAAACCUCUUUCAGCAGGGAAGAAGCGAAAGUGACGGUACCUGCAGAAGAAGCGCCGGCUAACUACGUGCCAGCAGCCGCGGUAAUACGUAGGGCGCAAGCGUUGUCCGGAAUUAUUGGGCGUAAAGAGCUCGUAGGCGGCUUGUCACGUCGGGUGUGAAAGCCCGGGGCUUAACCCCGGG